UACGUAGGGCGCAAGCGUUAUCCGGAAUUACUGGGCGUAAAGGGCGCGUAGGCGGCCUGCUAAGUCGAACGUGAAAUCCCCGGGCUCAACCCGGGAACUGCGUCCGAUACUGGUUGGCUUGAAUCCGGGAGAGGGAUGCGGAAUUCCAGGUGUAGCGGUGAAAUGCGUAGAUAUCUGGAGGAACACCGGUGGCGAAGGCGGCAUCCUGGACCGGCAUUGACGCUGAGGCGCGAAAGCCAGGGGAGCAAACGGG
rnacentral:rRNA from 1 species